UUAAAUAAGGUAAAAUGAAUAGAGAAUAGGAAGAUGGAUAAAAAAUGAACAAGUUUUCGAAGUUUCAAAGAUCUUGUGCAAGUUCUUUUACAUAACAAUUCAAAAGAGACAAAGGAAGGUAGAAAGAGAAAGAAGAAACGCAACUUAUUGGCAAAAAACUAUGGUUUUUCUUAAAAAAGAAAGGUAUAACUGUCAGUCCCUUGGCAUAUUUGGAAUAAGAGAGCUGUCAUCAGAGAGCUGUGCGCAGGCAAAUGAUUGACGGAGACUGGGAGACGCAACAAGUGUCAAUUGGCCGUGAAAUCCGGAAUAAAAGACUCGAGUAAAACAGCUCGAAGGAGGAGAAAGCUUACGGUAGAAGGGGAAUCUCCACAACCGCAGGUGGGAAAGCCCAGCUGACGGUGCUGAAUAGCAAGCGGUACGCACGAUGGGGGAACAAGAAUUGCAUUGACCGGGUCAACCCCGGCCUAGGUCAUAGAGAUGUUAUCGAUCAUUGAAGGAAAAGAAACAAGGAAUAAAAGAAGUAACAUAUAAGAGAAACAAU